rnacentral:rRNA from 1 species
CCAGCUUGCUGGAUGCUGACGAGCGGCGGACGGGUGAGUAAUGCAUAGGAAUCUGCCCGAUAGUGGGGGAUAACCUGGGGAAACCCAGGCUAAUACCGCAUACGUCCUACGGGAGAAAGGGGGCUCCGGCUCCCGCUAUGGGAUGAGCCUAUGUCGGAUUAGCUAGUUGGUGAGGUAACGGCUCACCAAGGCCACGAUCCGUAGCUGGUCUGAGAGGAUGAUCAGCCACAUCGGGACUGAGACACGGCCCGAACUCCUACGGGAGGCAGCAGUGGGGAAUAUUGGACAAUGGGGGCAACCCUGAUCCAGCCAUGCCGCGUGUGUGAAGAAGGCCCUCGGGUUGUAAAGCACUUUCAGCGAGGAAGAACGCCUAGCGGUUAAUACCCGCUAGGAAAGACAUCACUCGCAGAAGAAGCACCGGCUAACUCCGUGCCAGCAGCCGCGGUAAUACGGAGGGUGCAAGCGUUAAUCGGAAUUACUGGGCGUAAAGCGCGCGUAGGUGGCUUGAUAAGCCGGUUGUGAAAGCCCCGGGCUCAACCUGGGAACGGCAUCCGGAACUGUCAAGCUAGAGUGCAGGAGAGGAAGGUAGAAUUCCCGGUGUAGCGGUGAAAUGCGUAGAGAUCGGGAGGAAUACCAGGUGGCGAAAGGCGGCCUUCUGGACUGACACUGACACUGAGGUGCGAAAGCGUGGGUAGC